rnacentral:rRNA from 1 species
UAGACGCCCACCAACCAUGAAAAGCACUCCGGAUUAACGGACCCCCAAACAACAUGGUUCUGGUACAAACGUCUUCGGUUGGGGCGACCACGGGGGAGAGCAAAGCCCCCGAGAGGAUUGGGGGAAACCCUAAAACCAAGAGCCACAGCUCUAAGUCACAAAACAUUUGACCAAUAAUGAUCCGGCUUAUUGCCGAUCAACGGACCAAGUUACCCU